rnacentral:rRNA from 1 species
AAAGGAAUAGACGGGGACCCGCACAAGCAGCGGAGCAUGUGGUUUAAUUCGAAGCAACGCGAAGAACCUUACCAAGGUUUGACAUCCCCUUGCUAGGUACAGAGAUGUACCCUUCUCUUCGGAGACAAGGGAGACAGGUGGUGCAUGGUUGUCGUCAGCUCGUGUCGUGAGAUGUUGGGUUAAGUCCCGCAACGAGCGCAACCCCUAUCCUUAGUUGCCAUCAGGUAAAGCUGGGCCCUCUAAGGAGACUGCCGAUGAUAAAUCGGAGGAAGGUGGGGAUGACGUCAAAUCAUCAUGCCCCUUAUAUCUUGGGCUACACACGUGCUACAAUGGUCGGUACAACGGGGAGCUAAAGAGUGAUCUGGAGCGAAUCCCAAUAAACCGAUCCCAGUUCGGAUUGUAGGCUGCAACUCGCCUACAUGAAGUUGGAGUUGCUAGUAAUCGCGAAUCAGAACGUCGCGGUGAAUGCGUUCCCGGGUCUUGUACACACCGCCCGU